UCCGAUAUGGUGUAGUGGUGGCCAACAUGAUGCCCUCUCAUUCUUGAGAGGUUAGGCAUAGCCCCGAGUUCGAUUCUCGGUUUCGGAA
rnacentral:tRNA from 2 species